rnacentral:rRNA from 1 species
CGCGGCCUAUCAGCUUGUUGGUGAGGUAACGGCACACCAAGGCAACGACGGGUAGCUGGUCUGAGAGGACGAUCAGCCACACUGGGACUGAGACACGGCCCAGACUCCUACGGGAGGCAGCAGCAGGGAAUCUUGUCCAAUGGGCGAAAGCCUGAGACAGCGACGCCGCGUGGGGGAUGAAGGCCUUCGGGUUGUAAACCCCUUUCAGGAGGGACGAAAUUGACGGUACCUCCAGAAGAAGCCCCGGCCAACUACGUGCCAGCAGCCGCGGUAAUACGUAGGGGGCGAGCGUUGUCCGGAAUUAUUGGGCGUAAAGGGCUCGUAGGCGGUUACGUAAGUCGGAUGUGAAAACUCGAGGCUCAUCUUCGAGACGCCAUCCGAUACUGCGUUGACUUGAGUCCGGUAGAGGAGUGUGGAAUUCCUAGUGUAGCGGUGAAAUGCGCAGAUAUUAGGAGGAACACCUAUUGCGAAGGCAGCACUCUGGGACGGUACUGACGCUGAGGAGCGAAAGCAUGGGUAGCAAACAGGAUUAGAUACCCUGGUAGUCCAUGCCGUAAACGGUGGGCACUAGAUGUGGGGACUUUCAACGGUUUCCGUGUCGUAGCUAACGCAUUAAGUGCCCCGCCUGGGGAGUACGG